CCUACGGGAGGCAGCAGUAGGGAAUAUUGCUCAAUGGGGGAAACCCUGAAGCAGCAACGCCGCGUGGAGGAUGAAGGUUUUCUGAUUGUAAACUCCUUUUGUUAGAGAAGAUAAUUACGGUAUCUAACGAAUAAGCACCGGCUAACUCCGUGCCAGCAGCCGCCGUAAUACGGAGGGUGCAAGCGUUACUCGGAAUGAAUGGGCGUAAAGGGGGCGUAGGCGGGAUAGCAAGUCAGGUGUGAAAUCCUAUGGCUUAACCAUAGAACUGCAGUUGAAACUGUUAUUCUAGAGUAUGCGAGAGGUAGGUGGAAUUCGUGGUGUAGGGGUAAAAUCCGUAGAGAUCAAGAAGAAUACUGAUUGCGAAGGCGACCUGCUAGAACAUAACUGACGCUGAUGCGCGAAAGCGUGGGUAGCAAACAGGAUUAGAUACCCUUGUAGUC
rnacentral:rRNA from 1 species